UACGUAGGGGGCAAGCGUUAUCCGGAUUUACUGGGUGUAAAGGGAGCGUAGACGGCGAUGCAAGCCAGAUGUGAAAGCCCGGGGCUCAACCCCGGGACUGCAUUUGGAACUGUAUAGCUAGAGUGUCGGAGAGGCAGGCGGAAUUCCUAGUGUAGCGGUGAAAUGCGUAGAUAUUAGGAGGAACUCCGAUUGCGAAGGCAGCCUGCUGGACUGUAACUGACGCUGAUGCUCGAAAGUGUGGGUAUCAAACAGG
rnacentral:rRNA from 1 species